AUUUACUCUCUCCGUAUCAGUCGAAAAAACUUGACUCUUUAUUCACACCAGUUCCUCCUCUUUAUCUCUCAUGCUUCCAUGAACCAUAGCGACCUCCACUAUAGAGAGAAAUUUGGUGUGAGUUUUAUCAAAUUCGUGAAAAGCACGGGGAGGUCCACCGCCGAGCUUCUUUGCAGGCUGAAGAAGGGGAAAGGCUUCGAAAUCGAUUGGGUGGAGCUGCCUACAGUUCUAAUGUUGGCCACAGAUCUGGAUUUAGUUGAGGUUAGCAUGAGCAUGAACUUUUCACAUGGUAUGGAUCAUGAAUAUGAGAAAAUUUGCAGGAGAAUGAACCCACCAAGGGUUGUGGUUGAUAAUGAAGCCUGGAAGAAUGCUAUGGUGAUAAGGUUGGGCUAUUGGCCACUGACACAGAACUACAGUUGAUCAGUUGAAGUGUAAAACAAUUGCUAUCUAUCUGCAUGAAAAUCACCAAAGCCUGGAUGGAUUGAAACGACAAUCUAAUUUAAAAUAUGGUGUAGAAGUUGUGAAGUCAGAUGAACAGGUUCAUCUUGUUAAAAGGAUGAGCAAAUGCAAGCUGUCCAAACUGAAUUGAACAGCACUGAAACUCGUAUUCACAAUCCUUUAGCAUUAAGAAGUUGAUAGCAGCAUUUACUCAACUCGCAGGAAGCAAUCUCAACAGAUCAAAGAGCUGCAAUCAGUUCCAAUGGAAGGCAUAUAGUUGACAGCAUUGCUGCAUUUUGGAUGUUUACCUUACCUUCGGUUGUAGGUGAUCACGACUAUGAUGAUGAAGUCGAGCGAAAACUUUAGGAAUCUAUGAGGUAUAUAUGAUCAACUUCAUGAUGGCAGCCAAGCGAAAAAUGGCUGGGAGCAGUUGCAGGAAUUACCUUGUUUUGCAGAACUUAAUAUACUAAGGUGCUGAAAAUGCUGUCCUGGUCCAAUUUUUCUCUCACUUUAAGCUACAGCUCUGAUGUCCUUUAUAGAUCUCCUUCAAAAUUUGGUCUACCUGUGGAUGAUGCGGAUCUCUAAGGGCGAGGAAAUUUGACAUUUAGAUGCAGGCUGAUAUGCUCCUGUGGAGGAAGAAAACUCUGAACUUUCCCAGUUAAUUUGUAAGGAGGUUUUGCUGAAGUCUUGGAAUACUAUCCAUUGGACAUCUUGGACCUAACAAGGAUUAUGUAAAGCUGACUCCAAGAAGGUGAUCAUGAAAAUGUGACAGAUGUACGUAGUUUUGACAUUCCCUGAUGCCUUGCCAGUUCUGUUGCAGCCAAGGAGCACUUCAUACUACCAGUUUUCAGUACUGGUGAGUUGAGAAUUUGAUGAAACUUGAUGGUCAAGAUAUUGCUGAACGGUUGGUGAAUGGCAUUGACACAACCUUUUGUGUAUUCCCAGUAGAGAUUUGCAUCUCCAGCAAACAUGGUUGAAGGUUAGACAACACGGAUUUGAAUAAUGAAGCUGCGCGCUGUCUUGAACAUCAUCUGACACCAGACACAAUCAGAUCUUAUCAUCUUGGACUCUGUAAUCAGUGGAAUGAAGACUCAACUCUUCUAUAUGAACAUCACUGGAAUGGCUGUUUCCAGAUGGAUGAUUAUACCCUUUAUUCUUUUAAUAGAGACCGGUACAUAACCUGUUAUUUGGAACAAGCUCAACUUAGAUAAACGCAUAGCAUGAUAAUUACAACCAUUCUUUUCUUCUU